UACGUAGGGAGCAAGCGUUGUCCGGAAUCAUUGGGCGUAAAGCGCGCGUAGGCGGCCUCAUAAGUCCGUUGUGAAAGUCAAAGGCUCAACCUUUGAAAGCGGAUGGAUACUGUGAGGCUAGAGUUCGGAAGAGGCGAGUGGAAUUCCUGGUGUAGCGGUGGAAUGCGCAGAUAUCAGGAGGAACACCAAUAGCGAAGGCAGCUCGCUGGGACGAUACUGACGCUAAGGCGCGAAAGCGUGGGGGGCGAACAGG
rnacentral:rRNA from 1 species